rnacentral:rRNA from 1 species
UGGGGAAUAUUGGACAAUGGGGGCAACCCUGAUCCAGCAAUGCCGCGUGUGUGAAGAAGGUCUUCGGAUUGUAAAGCACUUUCGACGGGGACGAUGAUGACGGUACCCGUAGAAGAAGCCCCGGCUAACUUCGUGCCAGCAGCCGCGGUAAUACGAAGGGGGCUAGCGUUGCUCGGAAUGACUGGGCGUAAAGGGCGUGUAGGCGGUUUACACAGUCAGAUGUGAAAUCCCCCGGGCUUAACCUGGGAGCUGCAUUUGAUACGUGUAGACUAGAGUGUGAGAGAGGGUUUGUGGAAUUCCCAGUGUAGAGGUGAAAUUCGUAGAUAUUGGGAAGAACACCGGUGGCGAAGGCGGCAACCUGGCUCAUGACUGACGCUGAGGCGCGAAAGCGUGGGGAGCAAACAGGUUAGAUACCCUGGUAGUCCACGCUGUAAACGAUGCGUGCUAGAUGUUGGGUAACUUUGUUAUUCAGUGUCGCA